rnacentral:rRNA from 1 species
CACGUAGGCGGACUCUUAAGUCGGGGGUGAAAUCCUGGAGCUCAACUCCAGAACUGCCUUCGAUACUGGGAGCCUUGGAGUCCGGGAGAGGUGAGUGGAACUGCGAGUGUAGAGGUGAAAUUCGUAGAUAUUCGCAAGAACACCAGUGGCGAAGGCGGCUCACUGGCCCGGUACUGACGCUGAGGUGCGAAAGCGUGGGGAGCAAACA